GGUCCCAUGGUCUAGUGGUCAGGACAUUGGACUUUGAAUCCAAUAACCCGAGUUCAAAUCUCGGUGGGACCU
rfam:Daucus carota subsp. sativus cultivar DH1 chromosome 6, whole genome shotgun sequence.